CACAUGCAAGUCGAACGGAGUACUUCGGUACUUAGUGGCGGACGGGUGAGUAACGCGUGAGGAUCUGCCCUCAGGAGGGGGACAACGACUGGAAACGGUCGCUAAUACCCCAUAUGCCGAGAGGUGAAAUGUUUUUUCGCCUGAGGAUGAGCUCGCGUCAGAUUAGCUAGUUGGUGGGGUAACGGCCUACCAAGGCGACGAUCUGUAGCUGGUCUGAGAGGAUGAUCAGCCACACUGGGACUGAGACACGGCCCAGACUCCUACGGGAGGCAGCAGUGGGGAAUUUUCCGCAAUGGGCGAAAGCCUGACGGAGCAAGACCGCGUGAGGGAUGACGGCCUAAUGGUUGUAAACCUCUUUUCUCUGGGAAGAUAAUGACGGUACCAGAGGAAUAAGCCUCGGCUAACUCCGUGCCAGCAGCCGCGGUAAUACGGAGGAGGCAAGCGUUAUCCGGAAUUAUUGGGCGUAAAGCGUCCGUAGGUGGUUAAUCAAGUCAGCUGUUAAAGAGCGGAGCUUAACUCCGUUAGAGCGGUUGAAACUGAUUGACUAGAGUUUGGUAGGGGUCGAGGGAAUUCCCAGUGUAGCGGUGAAAUGCGUAGAUAUUGGGAAGAACACCGGUGGCGAAAGCGCU
rnacentral:rRNA from 1 species